rnacentral:rRNA from 1 species
UCCCUACGGGGCGCAGCAGUGAGGAAUAUUGGUCAAUGGUCGGGAGACUGAACCAGCCAAGCCGCGUGAGGGAAGACGGCCCUACGGGUUGUAAACCUCUUUUGUCGGGGAGCAAAGAGAGUCACGUGUGACUCAUUGAGAGUACCCGAAGAAAAAGCAUCGGCUAACUCCGUGCCAGCAGCCGCGGUAAUACGGAGGAUGCGAGCGUUAUCCGGAUUUAUUGGGUUUAAAGGGUGCGCAGGCGGAGGGGCAAGUCAGCGGUCAAAUUGCGGGGCUCAACCCCGUACUGCCGUUGAAACUGCAUC